rnacentral:tRNA from 1 species
GGGGACGUGGCGAAAUUGGUAGACGCACUGGAUUUAGGUUCCAGCGCCGCAAGGUGUGAGAGUUCGAGUCUCUCCGUCCCC